rnacentral:rRNA from 1 species
UCAUAUGGAUUCCUACGGGAGGCAGCAGUGGGGAAUUGUUCGCAAUGGGCGCAAGCCUGACGACGCAACGCCGCGUGGAGGAUGAAGGUCUACGGAUUGUAAACUCCUGUUGACCGGGAAGAACGGCCAGCGACCUAACACGUCGGUGGAGUGACGGUACCGGUUGAGGAAGCCACGGCUAACUCUGUGCCAGCAGCCGCGGUAAUACAGAGGUGGCAAGCGUUGUUCGGAAUUACUGGGCGUUAAGGGCGCGUAGGCGGUUGCCUAAGUCGGACGUGAAAUCCCCAAGCUUAACUUGGGAACUGCGUCCGAUACUGGGUGACUCGAGUUCGGGAGAGGGAUGUGGAAUUCCAGGUGUAGCGGUGAAAUGCGUAGAUAUCUGGAGGAAUACCGGUGGCGAAGGCGGCCCCCUGGACGAAGACUGACGCUCAGGUGCGAAAGCGUGGGGAGCAAACAGGAUUAGAUACCCUGGUAGUCCACGCCGUAAACGAUGUCGACUUGGAGGUUGUGCCCUUGAGGCGUGGCUUCCGGAGCUAACGCGUUAAGUCGACCGCCUGGGGAGUACGGCCGCAAGGUUAAAACUCAAAUGAAUUGACGGUGGCCCGCACAAGCGGUGGAGCAUGUGGUUUAAUUCGAUGCAACGCGAAGAACCUUACCUGGUCUUGACAUCCACGGAAGUUUUCAGAGAUGGGAAGGUGCCUUCAACCGUGAGACAGGUGCUGCAUGGCUGCCGUCACCUCCUUGAAAUGUUGGGUUAAGUCCAUCGGAUCCC